rfam:Geobacillus sp. BCO2 LR69_contig000012, whole genome shotgun sequence.
UUGACGACAAAAGCGCCUGGACUAAGCGUUGGACGGAAGAACGCUUAGUUGACGAGGAGGAGGUUUAUCGAGGUUUUCGGCGGAUGCCUCCCGGCUGGGGCGAUGACAGCCGCAAGUCCUCUCUUAAAACAAAGGGGCGACCCUUUGCACAAAGGGGAGGAUGUCAUCGCGC